CUUGAUCGAGCCCAGCCACAGCGGUCGGCCGGCGGGGCGGUCCUGCCCGUAGGUGGCCAGCAACGCCUGGGCCUC
rnacentral:antisense_RNA from 19 species